GGGCGAGUGGCGGAAUGGCAGACGCUAGGGACUUAAAAUCCCUUGGGAGCAAGCUCCCGUGCGGGUUCGAGUCCCGCCUCGCCCA
rnacentral:tRNA from 1 species